UCCGUAGGUGGAUAACUAAGUCAGGGGUGAAAGUCUGCAGCUCAACUGUAGAAUUGCCCUUGAUACUGGUUGUCUUGAGUCAUUAUGAAGUAGUUAGAAUAUGUAGUGUAGCGGUGAAAUGCAUAGAUAUUACAUAGAAUACCAAUUGCGAAGGCAGAUCACUAAUAAUAUAUUGACGCUGAUGGACGAAAGCGUGGGGAGCGAACAGGAUUAGAUACCCUGGUAGUCC
rnacentral:rRNA from 1 species